rnacentral:lncRNA from 1 species
CUCUUAGUGUUGGGCACCUGCAGAGAUCUCUGAAGUUCCUGGAGUGUAGCUCGCUCUUCUGCCCUAUUUGCUUCAGCCUGUGUAAUUCUUUCCGGUGAUCUGUGCUUAAUUCUUGACUCUAGACCUCGACGACCCUUUCAUCAGAGGAAAAGGGCAAAAAGACCAAGAAGAAAACGAGGCGGCGCAGAGCAAAAGGGGAAGGGAAGAGGCAGUCAGAGGACGAGUGCUUCCGCUGCGGUGAUGGCGGGCAGCUGGUGCUGUGUGACCGCAAGUUCUGCACCAAGGCCUACCACCUGUCCUGCCUGGGCCUUGGCAAGCGGCCCUUCGGGAAGUGGGAAUGUCCUUGGCAUCAUUGUGACGUGUGUGGCAAACCUUCGACUUCAUUUUGCCACCUCUGCCCCAAUUCGUUCUGUAAGGAGCACCAGGACGGGACAGCCUUCAGCUGCACCCCGGACGGGCGGUCCUACUGCUGUGAGCAUGACUUAGGGGCGGCAUCGGUCAGAAGCACCAAGACUGAGAAGCCCCCCCCAGAGCCAGGGAAGCCGAAGGGGAAGAGGCGGCGGCGGAGGGGCUGGCGGAGAGUCACAGAGGG